GGUGGGACAAGACGUGUAACUCCCUCCUUUGGCACUGGAGAUAGAUCCACAGCAAGACCCUUGGGUAACUGCUACUUGCUGAUCCAAACUGCAUCCUGAAUACUGAAGGAUAUGGCAGUCUUGAAGAGCCACAGCUAACAUCCAGAGCGAGUGAAGGACCCGCUGCCGAAGUGCCGCCGAAGAUCCAGUAGGGAACCACACGGAGGAGACCACUUGCAUUACUACAAAAGACUAAAGUUAUCAUAGUAUCCUGACCUGAAGAUUCUAAUUAUUUCUUGAGAUAUCAGCCAGACACAAACUGUUAAAAGAGCCUGAGGACUCAAACAGAGCUGAAGAAUUCACAUCUAAUGCAAAUUUUAACUUGAUACUUAUCAAAGACGUUUAUAUAUGUGUAUUAUCCAGGUGAUGAUCUGCUGAUUGUAAGCUAACCAGAAAAGUGUAUUUGUACUAAUGAAAACAUAUGUGUAACAACUUAACUGCGGGUUUGCCUGUAUCUGAAUAACAAGUUCCACAUUAACUAUGAUCAGGGGCGGCUCUAGGAAUUGCGGCGCCCCAA